AAGGUUUUCUUUUUCCAAAUCCUUGGCCCCCUUGUCCGAAGCCUCCAGUUCCUGUGCCAGCACCUCCUGGUACGAAACCUCCAGUUCCUGUGCCAGCACCUCCUGGUCCGAAACCUGCACCUCCUGGUCCGAAGCCUCCAGUUCCUGUGCCAGCACCUCCUGGUACGAAACCUCCAGUUCCUGUGCCAGCACCUCCUGGUACGAAACCUGCACCUCCUGGUCCGAAGCCUCCCGUUCCUGUGCCAGCACCUCCUGGUACGACACCUCCAGUUCCUGUGCCAGCACCUCCUGGUCCGAAACCUGCACCUCCUGGUCCGAAGCCUCCAGUUCCUGUGCCAGCACCUCCUGGUACGAAACCUCCAGUUCCUGUGCCAGCACCUCCUGGUCCGAAACCUGCACCUCCUGGUCCGAAGCCUCCAGUUCCUGUGCCAGCACCUCCUGGUACGAAACCUCCAGUUCCUGUGCCAGCACCUCCUGGUCCGAAACCUGCACCUCCUGGUCCGAAGCCUCCAGUUCCUGUGCCAGCACCUCCUGGUCCUAAACCUGCACCUCCUGGUCCGAAGCCUCCGGUUCCUGUGCCAGCCCCUCCUGGUCCGAAGCCUCCGGUUCCUGUGCCAGCACCUCCUGGUCCGAAGCCUCCGGUUCCUGUGCCAGCACCUCCUGGUCCGAAGCCUACGGUUCCUGUCCCAGCCCCUCCUGGUCCGAAGCCUCCGGUUCCUAUCCCAGCCCCUCCUGGUCCGAAGCCUCCCGUUCCUGUGCCAGCCCCUCCUGGUCCGAAGCCUCCGGUUCCUGUCCCAGCCCCUCCAGGUCCGAAGCCUCCCGUUCCUGUGCCAGCACCUCCUGGCCCAACACCCCCAGGCCCAAAUCCACCAGGUCCAUAUCUGUCAGGUCCAACCCCUGCACCUAGAAAAUAGGCAUAGUUUGUUUCCCCCUUAUAAGCUGCCAUUAUUAUAUCUGCCGGGAGAUCUUGCAUUCGGUUUUGUGUGUGUGUGUGUGUGUGUGUGUGUGUGUGUGUGUGUGUGUGUGUGUGUGUGUGGCAUCUACGUCUUUGUCCACGGCUAA
rnacentral:lncRNA from 1 species